rnacentral:ncRNA from 1 species
AUUGGAAUUAUAGGGGUGAUAGUUUUCAAACACGAAACCCCGCAUCUGGUCGAUGCAGUGAAACAGCGGGUUCCAGUCGAACAUCGCCAGCAUCGACGCAGGCAGGGCAUUGGCCAGAAACAUCUUGCCGCUGGCGAUCAUGUUCACGCGACCG